AGAGUUUGAUUCUGGCUCACAUUGAACGCUGGCGGCAGGCCUAACACAUGCACGUCGAGCGGAUGAGUGGAGCUUGCUCCAUGAUUCAGCGGCGGACGGGUGAGUAAUGCCUAGGAAUCUGCCUGGUAGUGGGGGACAACGUUUCGAAAGGAACGCUAAUACCGCAUACGUCCUACGGGAGAAAGCAGGGGACCUUCGGGCCUUGCGCUAUCAGAUGAGCCUAGGUCGGAUUAGCUAGUAGGUGAGGUAAAGGCUCACCUAGGCGACGAUCCGUAACUGGUCUGAGAGGAUGAUCAGUCACACUGGAACUGAGACACGGUCCACACUCCUACGGGAGGCAGCAGUGGGGAAUAUUGGACAAUGGGCGAAAGCCUGAUCCACCCAUGCCGCGUGUGUGAAGAAGGUCUUCGGAUUGUAAAGCACUUUAAGUUGGGAGGAAGGGCAGUAAGUUAAUACCUUGCUGUUUUGACGUUACCAACAGAAUAAGCACCGGCUAACUUCGUGCCAGCAGCCGCGGUAAUACGAAGGGUGCAAGCGUUAAUCGGAAUUACUGGGCGUAAAGCGCGCGUAGGUGGUUCAGCAAGUUGGAGGUGAAAUCCCCGGGCUCAACCUGGGAACUGCCUCCAAAACUACUGAGCUAGAGUACGGUAGAGGGUAGUGGAAUUUCCUGUGUAACGGUGAAAUGCGUAGAUAUAGGAAGGAACACCAGUGGCGAAGGCGACUACCUGGACUGAUACUGACACUGAGGUGCGAAAGCGUGGGGAGCAAAAAGGAUUAGAUACCCUGGUAGUCCACGCCGUAAAC
rnacentral:rRNA from 1 species